rnacentral:rRNA from 1 species
UUAUGAUUUCUCACAAGGUGCCCGGGGAGUCAUCCAUGCAAACUCUCCGGAUCCCUGGUCGGCAUAGUUUACGGUAGAGACUACGACGGUAUCUGAUCGUCUUCGAUCCCCCUACUUUCGUUCUUGAUUAAUGAAAACAUCCUUGGCAAAUGCUUUCGCAUUGGUCAGUCUUUAGUAAAUCCUAGAAUUUCACCUCUGACAACUAAAUACUAAUGCCCCCAACUGUCCCUAUCAAUCAUUACUUCAGCCAAGCGAAACCAACGAAACAAGACCGAAGUCGUAUUCCAUUAUCCCAUGCUAACGUAUUCGGAGGCGAGUUACGCCUGCUUUGAACACUCUAAUUUCCUCAAAGUAAACGAUCCUAGCGGUUGAUUCCCCACCCUCGCGGAUGAGGACCGUUAGGAACAUAGGAGGCCAGUGACCCGCUCCCCGAAGGGGCGGACCACUAAAGACCUUCCGAAAUCCAACUACGAGCUUUUUAACUGCAACAACUUUAAUAUACGCUAUU